CAGCAGCCGCGGGAAUACGAAGGGGGCUAGCGUUGCUCGGAAUGACUGGGCGUAAAGGGCGCGUAGGCGGCGGCCAAAGUCAGGCGUGAAAUUCCCGGGCUCAACCUGGGGGCUGCGCUUGAUACUUGGUUGCUUGAGUGGGGAAGAGGGUCGUGGAAUUCCCAGUGUAGAGGUGAAAUUCGUAGAUAUUGGGAAGAACACCGGUGGCGAAGGCGGCGACCUGGUCCUUUACUGACGCUGAGGCGCGAAAGCGUGGGGAGCAAACAGGAUUAGAUACCCGAGUAGUCCCUGUCUCUUAUAC
rnacentral:rRNA from 1 species